GAGGGUAUAGCUCAACUGGUAGAGUGCAUGCUUAGCAUGCAUGAGGUCCUAGGUUCAAUCCUCAGUACCUCCA
rnacentral:tRNA from 1 species